rnacentral:rRNA from 1 species
UGAACGCUGGCGGCAGGCUUAACACAUGCAAGUCGAGCGGAGUGAUGGUGCUUGCACUAUCACUUAGCGGCGGACGGGUGAGUAAUGCUUAGGAAUCUGCCUAUUAGUGGGGGACAACAUUUCGAAAGGAAUGCUAAUACCGCAUACGUCCUACGGGAGAAAGCAGGGGAUCUUCGGACCUUGCGCUAAUAGAUGAGCCUAAGUCGGAUUAGCUAGUUGGUGGGGUAAAGGCCUACCAAGGCGACGAUCUGUAGCGGGUCUGAGAGGAUGAUCCGCCACACUGGGACUGAGACACGGCCCAGACUCCUACGGGAGGCAGCAGUGGGGAAUAUUGGACAAUGGGCGCAAGCCUGAUCCAGCCAUGCCGCGUGUGUGAAGAAGGCCUUAUGGUUGUAAAGCACUUUAAGCGAGGAGGAGGCUACUGAAGUUAAUACCUUCAGAUAGUGGACGUACUCGCAGAAUAAGC